AGUAACUGUCACCUCAAAGGUGACAGUCAGCUGCCUCCUGGGAUAACUUAGCAAAGCUCUCCAAAGACCAUGGAACCGGCUUCCCUUUGUUUUCCCCAAAGGUCUGGGAUUCCCUUCUGAUCUGGGUUAGAAAGAUCGGACAACCUCCUGUCACUCCUCCUUUGUGAGCACGACCUAUGGCCUCUGCAUCCCCAGGGCGUGGGGUAAGGAA
rnacentral:lncRNA from 1 species